rnacentral:lncRNA from 7 species
GAUAACGGGAGCGCCCGCCUUCACCCGCACUCACCGCCCCUUCACUCCUCCUGCGGCACCGCGCGGCGGGAGCGGAAAGGAACACGUCGGUACCGGAGGGGUACACACCCGCAGUGACUUUUCCAUCUCUGUGCUCCUCGACCAGCGGAGAGGAGAGGGGUGGGACAGCCCCCACGGGGUUGGCGCACGAGGAAGGAGGAGGGCGAGGGGCUCCCACGUCGCGAGUGGGCGAAGAAAGCCCCGCGCGGUUCCUUCGAAAUCGGUGCCGACUGUGGGUAUGCAACGGGAGCACAGGUCCCAGUCUCCUCUUCGGGACGGCAGAGCCCGGAGCCCACUCCUUCCAUAGCGACGUUGGCAGCGCACCGCGAGUGCCAUCCAGCACACCCGCGCGGUGCGGUGCAAUGCGGUGCGGCGCGCCCCUUCCGAUGGACUCUGCGGGCUGCGUGGGAAAACAGCACCAAACUUUUUAGGGUGUUUAUGCGUUUUAGGGUGGUUAUAUGUACCCAUGUAUCCUACGAUAGCAGAGGGAGAGGAUGUGUCAAUGGCAUCGGAAUAAAAUCACCAAGGAAAAAAUGAAAUUAUAUUUAAAAAGGGGUUGCACUAAAACAUACUCGAGCGCUUUAAGAUAAAUAAAACAAAUAUAUG